rnacentral:rRNA from 1 species
UACAGAGGGGGCGAGCGUUGUUCGGAAUUACUGGGCGUAAAGGGCGCGUAGGCGGCCCGCUAAGUCGAACGUGAAAUCCCCAGGCUUAACCUGGGAACUGCGUCCGAUACUGGCAGGCUUGAAUCCGGGAGAGGGAUGUGGAAUUCCAGGUGUAGCGGUGAAAUGCGUAGAUAUCUGGAGGAACACCGGUGGCGAAGGCGGCUCUCUGGACUCAAACUGACGCUGAGGCACGAAAGCGUGGGUAGCGAACAGG